GCCCGGUUAGCUCAAUUGGUAGAGCGUGCGCCUUUUAAGCGCAAGGUCGUGGGUUCGAUCCCCACAUUGGGCG